GGGCGCGUAGCUCAAUUGGCCAGAGCGCUCGCUUUACAUGCGAGAGGUUCCCGGUUCAAGCCCGGGCGUGCCUA
rnacentral:tRNA from 1 species